UUAACAAUAUCACCCAGAAUUCUGCAAGAGACUUGUACUUAUCACAGUUUCACAGAAGAGGAAAACUCAAAGAAGCUCCUAAGUCUCCCUGUCACACAGCUGCCAGGAUAUGGGUGGCAGCGCCUGGUACUUAUUUGUUCAAGAUAGCUCCUCGUCAGUAUACGCCAAGGAUGGAUUUUAAAGAAUCACACCUUCAGAAGUGUCAUCUCCCUGAAGAAGGAGGGCACGAGGCUUCACCUCCCUCCGCAGACACUGUGUGGCUACUUCCAGUGACAGUUCUGUCAGCUGAGGAGCAAAAAAAACUCAAACACACGAGCCCAUCGAGACUUUCCUCAUUUAAACCACCACAGGAACAAAGGAAGAAACGAAAAUACCAGGAAAUGAAUGGCAUUCUGAAGAAAAGAUGACGGUAAAUUGGACUAAGAAGGAGACACAUGGAUUCUGACCUUCCUUUAAAGGUGUGUCACAGUUCGUGAGAAUAUUUCAUCCUGAGAUGGAGAUGCUAACAGUGGAGAGAGAGCCUCAGUGGUUAUGUUGCCAUCUUCUCUGGACUCACUUCUUCUGCAUAGGAAAAAUCUGGGGCUCAAGGAUGAAGACCAGCACAAGUUGAAACCUUAGUUCUAUGGCCCAGUGAAUAACCUGGGUGUCUGCCCCUGACUUGAGGCUGAAACCAUCUCAGAGGGUCCCUGGGCAUCUGCUCAGUGAUUGACAGAAAGAAACACAUUUCUCCCACAAGCAAAAGCAGAGAAACAACUUCACUCUCAAAACCAACCAGGAUAAAGAAGGGACAUCAUGCCCUGCUGUCCACAGAGUCCAAAGCCUGAUUCUCAGAGGGGUUCCUGGAGUGACAUUAGUCUCCAGUGGCACUGUGACCAGCAUAGAUGCAGGGAGAGGACACAGAUAACUCCAGUUACCCUGGGACCUCCUCCCCUCUUCUCCUUCCAUUCCAAAGUAUUCCUGUACUGCCCUGCGCUAGCUUUACACUAAGAAUUACGGGGCAGGAUAUUUCUAAUUCACUCAUCAUUAAAAAUCUCAAAGUGCUUUGAGUUUCUUGUCUAUCUCCA